AGCGUCCGCAAGGACUCUGUCCGAACCGACCCUGGUGUACUUCCCCGAUACCAGGUUCGGGUCGGGCAGGGCCCUGUGCACGC
rnacentral:ncRNA from 1 species